ACAAGAUGCCCAACAACGAAAGGUCAGAUAGACGAAAUUUUUAUUUUGUUUACUUGUUUUUAAUUUCCUUCCCAUUUUUUCAAGUGUUAUAUUUCAUUGUCGUCUUGAUAUCAAUUGUAUGUUUCUCCUUCUCCUUAUAACUACUACCGUGCUUGUAUGGGAAAAUUCGGAAAAGUUUUAAUUCAGCAGUGAAAGAAUCUAUAAUAUUUAUUCAUCUUCGCGUCCAUUUGGAUAGAUGUGCAGUUGGAAUUAAAUUGGGUCUUAAUUUGUUUCAUCAUAAUCUUUAAGUGAGAAGUCACAUACACCAACACUAAUUCUAAUUCAAGUACCUCUUCAUUUUGAAUUCUCAUCUAUCCAAAUGAUUUUUUUUGUGGAGUGAUAGUCCACCAUGGAGGGCAAGGGAUUCUCCUACGUGACUGGUUACAAACAAGAACAUAAAUCGCAAGCUAGAAAAGUAAUUUCCAAGGUUAAAUGAUUCUUAAUGGUAGUGAAGGUGUUCUACAGUUGGAACUUGGAAUGAGCUUGCUAGGGCCAAUAAAGUUGUCCUAAUUGUACCAUGGUGAAUGUGCAUAAAAGCCUAUGUGAUAUUUUACCAUGCAGACUUGGUGUUUAAUAGAGCUGAAUGGCGAAAAAG
rnacentral:misc_RNA from 1 species